CUUCUAAAACCCUUCAUCUCCGCCGCCAUUCUCAUGGUUCAAAUUUUGGAAUCGGGGAGAACAAAAUUUCUAGCUGUGUUGUUCCGAUUUCUGGAUUCAAUUUCUUGUUGUGUUGUUUCGAUUUUCAUGAUUCGAUUUUUCUGUUGUGUUGUUUCGAUUUCUGGAUUCGAUUUUCAUGGUUCAAAUUUCAAGAUUCGAUUCGGU
rnacentral:lncRNA from 1 species